rnacentral:rRNA from 1 species
UAGGGAGGCAGCAGUGGGGAAUUUUGGACAAUGGGGGCAACCCUGAUCCAGCCAUGCCGCGUGUGUGAAGAAGGCCUUCGGGUUGUAAAGCACUUUCGGACGGAACGAAAUCGCGCGAGUUAAUAGUUCGCGUGGAUGACGGUACCGUAAGAAGAAGCACCGGCUAACUACGUGCCAGCAGCUGCGGUAAUACGUAGGGUGCGAGCGUUAAUCGGAAUUACUGGGCGUAAAGUGUGCGCAGGCGGCUUCGCAAGUCGAGUGUGAAAUCCCCGAGCUUAACUUGGGAAUUGCGCUCGAAACUACGGAGCUGGAGUGUGGCAGAGGAAGGUGGAAUUCCACGUGUAGCGGUGAAAUGCGUAGAGAUGUGGAGGAACACCGAUGGCGAAGGCAGCCUUCUGGGCCAACACUGACGCUCAUGCACGAAAGCGUGGGGAGCAAACAGGAUUAGAUACCCUGGUAGUCCACGCCCUAAACGAUGAUGACUAGUUGUUGGAGGAGUUAAAUCCUUUAGUAACGCAGCUAACGCGUGAAGUCAUCCGCCUGGGGAGUACGGUCGCAAGAUUAAAACUCAAAGGAAUUGACGGCCCUACGGGAGGCAGCAGA